rnacentral:rRNA from 1 species
UAUGGCCUACGGGACGCAGCAGUCGGGAAUAUUGCGCAAUGGAGGAAACUCUGACGCAGUGACGCCGCGUAUAGGACGAAGGUCUUCGGAUUGUAAACUAUUGUCGUUAGGGAAGAGAAAGGACAGUACCUAAGGAGGAAGCUCCGGCUAACUACGUGCCAGCAGCCGCGGUAAUACGUAGGGGGCAAGCGUUGUUCGGAAUGACUGGGCGUAAAGGGUGUGUAGGCGGUGUAGCAAGUUAGAAGUGAAAUACCUAGAGCUUAACUCAGGUGCUGCUUCUAAAACUGCUAUACUUGAGUGCAGUA